AGCAAAUAAAAGAAAAGUCGAGUGACGAAGAUAUUAGUUAUGAAGAUGAUUUUGAGAGCUACGAAUCUGACUUCGAUUCGUACCAUAGUGAGGUAAAAAGUGAUAGCACGGGUGAUGAUCACGGUGAUGAGAUUGAUGGUGAUAAUGAUGAACACGUAACGUGUGAUUCUAAUGAAAAUGUUGAUAAAAGUGAUAGACGUGAUGCACUAGUAGAAGAUGAAGACAUAGCUUCAAAGGAAGAAAGAAUGCUGGAUUCUGGUAACUACGAACUCCGGGACCCUCGCUCAGCGAAUAGAACGAAGCCAAUGGAAUUUAUAUCAGAAGCGUCUGAAGAAGAAACCAAG
rnacentral:misc_RNA from 1 species